AGACCCGAAACCCGGUGAUCUAGCCAUGGGCAGGUUGAAGGUUGGGUAACACUAACUGGAGGACCGAACCGACUAAUGUUGAAAAAUUAGCGGAUGACCUGUGGCUGGGGGUGAAAGGCCAAUCAAACCGGGAGAUAGCUGGUUCUCCCCGAAAGCUAUUUAGGUAGCGCCUCGUGAAUUCAUCUCCGGGGGUAGAGCACUGUUUCGGCCAGGGGGCCAUCCCGGCUUACCAAUCCGAUGCAAACUGCGAAUACCGGAGAAUGUUAUCACGGGAGACACACGGCGGGUGCUAACGUCCGUCGUGAAGAGGGAAACAACCCAGACCGCCAGCUAAGGUCCCAAAGUCAUGGUUAAGUGGGAAACGAUGUGGGAAGGCCCAGACAGCCAGGAUGUUGGCUUAGAAGCAGCCAUCAUUUAAAGAAAGCGUAAUAGCUCACUGGUCGAGUCGGCCUGCGCGGAAGAUGUAACGGGGCUAAACCAUGCACCGAAGCUGCGGCAGCGACACUGAUGUGUUGUUGGGUAGGGGAGCGUUCUGUAAGCCGUUGAAGGUGGCCUGUGAGGGUUGCUGGAGGUAUCAGAAGUGCGAAUGCUGACAUAAGUAACGAUAAAGCGGGUGAAAAGCCCGCUCGCCGGAAGACCAAGGGUUCCUGUCCAACGUUAAUCGGGGCAGGGUGAGUCGACCCCUAAGGCGAGGCCGAAAGGCGUAGUCGAUGGGAAACGGGUUAAUAUUCCCGUACUUGGUGUUACUGCGAAGGGGGGACGGAGAAGGCUAUGUUGGCCGGGCGACGGUUGUCCCGGUUUAAGCGUGCAGGUGUGUGUUCCAGGUAAAUCCGGUU
rnacentral:rRNA from 1 species